UACGAAGGGGGCAAGCGUUGUUCGGAAUUACUGGGCGUAAAGGGCGCGUAGGCGGCCGAUCAAGUCAGGCGUGAAAUUCCCGGGCUCAACCUGGGGCUGCGCUUGAUACUGAUUGGCUUGAAUGCGGGAGAGGAUAGUGGAAUUCCCAGUGUAGAGGUGAAAUUCGUAGAUAUUGGGAAGAACACCAGUGGCGAAGGCGGCUAUCUGGCCCGUUAUUGACGCUGAGGCGCGAAAGCGUGGGGAGCAAACAGGG
rnacentral:rRNA from 1 species